rnacentral:lncRNA from 1 species
CGAAUUCUGCGUGAAAUCGAACUUCGUCUACAGAAAGUCUCUGACCGAGCUCCUACAGCAAAUGACCCUCGCCUGCAGUACUAGCGCCCAAGGCACCCAACGGUGGAGGGCUCGCCAGCAACAUCCGAGCUCCUCUCAGAUGGAGAGCUACCUCUCUCUGCCGGACACCUCAAUCGAGCUUCGGCCGACAGGCCUGGACUCCCUGGCAGGUCAUAGUAAUGG